GACGAACGCUGGCGGCGUGCUUAACACAUGCAAGUCGAACGGAAAGGCCCUGCUUUUGUGGGGUUCUCGAGUGGCGAACGGGUGAGUAACACGUGAGUAACCUGCCCUUGACUUUGGGAUAACUUCAGGAAACUGGGGCUAAUACCGGAUAGGAGCUCCUGCUGCAUGGUGGGGGUUGGAAAGUUUCGGCGGUUGGGGAUGGACUCGCGGCUUAUCAGCUUGUUGGUGGGGUAGUGGCUUACCAAGGCUUUGACGGGUAGCCGGCCUGAGAGGGUAACCGGCCACAUUGGGACUGAGAUACGGCCCAGACUCCUACGGGAGGCAGCAGUGGGGAAUAUUGCACAAUGGGCGGAAGCCUGAUGCAGCAACGCCGCGUGCGGGAUGACGGCCUUCGGGUUGUAAACCGCUUUCGCCUGUGACGAAGCGUGAGUGACGGUAAUGGGUAAAGAAGCACCGGCUAACUACGUG
rnacentral:rRNA from 1 species